UUACUACAUUAUUUUAUUUAUUAUUUUUUUUUUUAUGAAAAUGAAUUAUUUUUCAAUAAUCAAAUUCUUUGUUUUAGUAUUUGCUUCUUGUAACUACGUGGCACAAUGCUUAAAAAAAAUAGAAGAAAUUGUAGAAGGGAAUUUAAAAAUUUUAAGUGGAGAUUUAAAUGAAAAUAUAAAAUUAGUUUGUGACCAAAGGCAAUAUAUUCAUAUUUUAGAUGCUAGUUAUGGAAAACCAUACGUUGAUCAUUUCUUAAUAAAAAAAAAUUCAUUGGAUGCGCCACAUACAUUGCCAGUUGUUCAAAUGAUGUGUGAAGGAAAAGAAAAUUGUGAUAUAAGUGUAAACAAUGAGACAUUCAAAAUUCUUUCUUUGAUAACAAAAUUUAAUAAACUUAUAAUAAAGUAUUCCUGUGUACCUUCUAAGCCAAGUUCCUUUCCGUCAUGUAUAUUAUUAUUAAAACUAUUUCUAACUUUAAAAAAAAAUAAAAUACGAACAAAAUAUUUUUACAAAAAAUAAAAGUGGUGGAAAACAUUUUAUCUUUAUAUACGUACAUGUGCUUAUGCAUUUACGCACAUAUAUAUAUAUACGUUUUGUUACUUUCUAUGUAAUACUUCGUGUAGAUAACAUAAAAGCCAAAACAGGGAACGAUCAUAUUUGGGAUGUUCAAGUUGAAGGUUUUAAAAAACAAUUAAAAAAAUAAACCUGUUUGAGUUUUAAUCA
rnacentral:lncRNA from 1 species